rnacentral:rRNA from 1 species
UGGGGAAUAUUGGACAAUGGGCGAAAGCCUGAUCCAGCCAUGCCGCGUGUGUGAAGAAGGUCUUCGGAUUGUAAAGCACUUUAAGUUGGGAGGAAGGGCAGUAAGCGAAUACCUUGCUGUUUUGACGUUACCGACAGAAUAAGCACCGGCUAACUCUGUGCCAGCAGCCGCGGUAAUACAGAGGGUGCAAGCGUUAAUCGGAAUUACUGGGCGUAAAGCGCGCGUAGGUUGUUCGUUAAGUUGAAUGUGAAAGCCCCGGGCUCAACCUGGGAACUGCAUCCAAAUCUGGCGAGCUAGAGUAGGGCAGAGGGUGGUGGAAUUUCCUGUGUAGCGGUGAAAUGCGUAGAUAUAGGAAGGAACACCAGUGGCGAAGGCGACCACCUGGGCUCAUACUGACACUGAGGUGCGAAAGCGUGGGGAGCAAACAGG